GUCCAUUCGGGAACAUUCAAUGAAAUUGGAACGACACAAAGAAGAUUAGCAUGAUCCACACGUAACAUACAAAAAAGAGCAACGAAUUUGACUUCUUUUUU